UUCCUUUAACCUGUCUAAUUUAUUCCUUAUUUAUUUAUUAGUUGCUGUUUAAUAAAUCAUAUUUGCUCUGAAGUACAUGUGCCGUAGAACCUCAGCGCUACGGACACCUCGGGAAUGGUGGUUGUCUGUAACUCUGAAAUGGUCCGUAACCUGAAGAUGUUACGGAAUUCAGCCACUGCUGAAUUGGGGCUGCAGCCAUUGGGGAUGGAAGCAUCCAGUGUGAGGAGAGUACCCUGGAGUGGGGACAGCUGAGCCCCUGACCUAAGUGACAGUGAGAAGAUUAAGCCCCACCAGGAUUUCUAGUCCGAGCCUUGUCAGGGUUACAAGGACAGUGGAAGAGGAGUCCUUGAGGUCAGGCAGGCCACUGGGAAAACAGAGUGGGAGCUAGGACUCAGAUUCAUUCAUUAGUAAAUUCAAGCGGGGUCCAUAUAAUCUGGUAAAGAUCCCCACAGAGGUGGGACCAUCUCCUACUAACAUAUAGGUUAUAUCCUAACAAGGAAUCUUGUAUUAUUAAUGCUAUCCCAGCCACGUUCUUUGCACUAUUUUUUUAAAGGACUGGAAAUUCCAUGCAUUAAUGAUAUACAUUUUAUAUAUUUAUAUCUCUUAGAGACAGGAUAUUUUUAGGACAAAGAGAAUAACAAGGAUUCAAAAGAGCUGGUUGGGUCCCUUCUUUCUUUCUUUCUUUCUUUCUUUCUUUCUUUCUUUCUUUCUUUCUUUGUCUCUCUCUGCAUCUCUCUCUCUCUGCUUUUCUCUCUUUAGGUCUCUACAUGACCUCAGUUGCAAUAGGAGCUAAUCAUUAAAAUUUUUAUUUCCCUUUCCAAUGUACCUUAAGUUUAUUGUCUUGCCUGCUGUGUGUUUCAGGUUUAUCGCCAUGGCAGAAAGAUGUCUUGCUUCACAAAUGUGUGAAGCUGCAAUAAGCUACAACAUGCCAGGUGUAAGCCAGUUCCCUGCCUCCACAGUGCUGAUCCAGCCACCACCUUCCCAGGAGCAAUUCUCAGCUCUUUCCCUCAGAAAAGCAGAGUGGGAUCCCCAGGAGUAGCUGACAUUGGAGUUGAGAGAAGUACUUCCAAAAGGUGGCAGAUGGACUGGAGUGCCAAACUCUACAGCUGCAAGAAAGAACUCAGAGAACUGUGAGAAAGAUACCAUUUUGGAGCUGGGGAUAGGAUACGGCUCUCCAUAAAACGAUGGUUCAUCCCACAGCAUCUCAUCCUUCACCAAGAAUUCACCAUUUUCCUCUCUGCUGGGCUUCUUGCUGGGCUCACUCAACUGCAUUGUCUUACAAGACGUCACUUUCUUGCCUGCUCAUGGAUGGAGAGGUAGUUUCUGGCGGAGUACAGGUUCCAAGACUUAACUCAAACCCUUUGUACAAAAGAGCACUGCUUCCUUUCCCUCUCCACCAUCCCUCCCCUUGACUAAUCAGCAAAUCUGCUCUAGGCAGCGCUUUGACAAUCCUUUGAUGACAGCCACAUGUGCUACUGAUGCCACCCAUAACCACCAGCUGGCUCACACAAUGUUAAGAUGAAAGACAACUGAAGAGUGCAACAUGCAUAUCACCCCCUGUGAGGCUGCAAUUCAUCCAAAGGAGGACUUACAAAGGCACUCAAGUUUGUGUAAGCAGAGUCAGGAUGAGCUCUCCCCUGACCUCUGGUGGUGAAUUAUGGGAAGUGCGGAAAGAAGGCCAGGAAAUGUGAACUCUCAAAUAUUUGCAUGGGCACACCCAGCAAGGCAGCCUGGGAUGGUUAUUUUGACAGCUGGGCUCCCCAAUUUCUUU